UAGAUGUUUUCGUAACUUUCAGUCAGAUUGAUAUAGAUUUAGCAAUACAGGACAUCCAAACAGCAUUAUCUUCCAGUAUUUUCAAGCAAAUUCUGAUUCAUUCAAUCACUAGGCCCCUACAUUAGACCUGGGUUCAUCGUCGUAUCAGUCCACAAGCAACGUUUCAAAAUACAGUAGGUAAUAUUUUUGAUCUUCUUCCACAAUAAUGAACAGUGAUACGACAGUACCUGAAGUGCGCUGGAAAAGGAAAUAAUCAAUAAAGCAAGAGCUAGGAAAAAAGUGAUAAAUACAGUGUACUAUAUUUAUGAGGGUGGUGGGAGGCACUGCACAUAACACCUCUGCUAAAGCACUAUUCUACAACAAGUGACGUCACUUCUCACGCUGGCGGGAGCAGUACGCAGUAGAUAGGCUCGGCUCGCUGCGAUGGCUGGCUGGCUCUGUGGCUGUUGGCUGUGGGGAAGGGCGAGCUGCCAGAGCAGAGCAGAGCAGGAUGCGAGUAUUACCACGGGCGAGUCCAUUUGCGCGCCGCGUGGAGGGGAGGCCGACUGCCAGUGCUGUGGGAGGGGCGCCUCCUCUACCACUGUUCCCCCCCUCUACUCUACUCACCACAACAACCACCGAAUUUCAUAUUUUUCAUCAGUUCACUUGCAUUUCUAAAUUGAUUCCUGGCAGAACUAAGGCACUUUCAACAUUUUAGUUGAGCUUCCAGUCAUAGUUGCAUAGAGAGGAUAAACUGUAUCAAUACACAAUAACACAUAUUACACUACGCUACUUAAUUGGGCUCUAAUCCUCUAAAUCAACAAACAACAGUAUAAAAACACUUCAAACAACAUACAACCAGUGAGUAUGGAAUGUAAGUUUGUGAGUAUGAAAUGUAACAUUCUAUACUCACUGCAUACAACAGUAUAAAGUAUUAGAUCAGAAACAUAAUAAUUUCAUAUACUAAUUACGUAUAAUAACAGAUGAAUCUACUUUGUUGCUAGUUGAUUAGUACGUUAUUGACAUUUCAAUGGCGGCUUUUCGCACUUCCCAAACUACGUGUGACUUCUACAAUGAAUAGUAUGCAUCACAUUAAAUAAUUCUAUUGAUUGAAAACACUAAUCCAUUCUGCUAUCUGAUAUUUUCUGUUAUCAGUCUUAAUAGUAUUUAGUAUAUUAUUUUACAGUGUAAUGUUUUUGUACAGGAAACAUUUUUGGACUAUUAUGUAUGUUAUUUCCAAAGUUGUAUUGUUUUUUUUCGAAAUAAGUGAAUAAACAAUUGAAAAAAUCUAAAUAUCACGUUACAAAUGAAAAAUAAAACUCUAAAAUUAACUAAGAAAAUAAUCAUUCACAAACCCCUGUGUGAUAAAAGUUUGCUGCUAGAUGAGCUAAUUGAAUCAUUAUCGAAUGGCAGUUGUUGGCAUUCAUUCAUUGAGGAUUAUAACGAAAACAUACCUACAUUCUUCUGAUAUAGAUAAGCACCUAAUGUGUGAAAUUAUGCACUUAUAAAUUAUUGAAUUAAUUAUAUUAUUUAAUUGAUAUAAUUGCGAAUAAUAUAGAAUGUGUUCUUUCUUCUUUGUAAA
rnacentral:lncRNA from 1 species